rnacentral:tRNA from 1 species
UCCUGGUGGCUCAGAUGGUAAAGUGUCUGCCUGCAAUGCAGAAGACCUGGGUUUGAUCCCUGGGUCGGGAA